UACAGAGGGUGCGAGCGUUGUCCGGAAUCACUGGGCGUAAAGGGCGCGUAGGCGGCCCGGUAAGUAGGGGGUGAAAUCUCAUGGCUCAACUGUGAGGCUGCCUUCUAGACUGCCAGGCUUGAGCACAGUAGAGGCGAGUGGAAUUCCCGGUGUAGCGGUGGAAUGCGUAGAGAUCGGGAAGAACAUCGGUGGCGAAGGCGGCUCGCUGGGCUGUUGCUGACGCUGAGGCGCGAAAGCGUGGGGAGCAAACAGG
rnacentral:rRNA from 1 species